rnacentral:lncRNA from 1 species
AUACGGUAAGCAAGAAAAUAACAGCGUUGCAAAGAUGGCAAGGAAAGAGGGCAAAAUGAAUGUCAGCAGCAUCGAUGCCUUAGGUGAUGAUCUUCUCCGAAACGUGCUCAGGAGAUUACCUUCCUCUUCUUUCGCAUCUGCUGCCUGCGUUAGCCGCUAUUGGAAUCAUCUCUGUGACACUGUCCUCUGCACUCCCAAACUCUCCUCUGCUCACUCUANAUGUUAGUUGACUUUUAACGGAAGGAUCCGAAUCAGAAAAGUUUGAAAGUUUAAGGAUUGUAUUAUUACAAAAAAUAGGAUAUGGACCUAGAUAAUAAACAGCCUAUAGUUGAGGGACGUGAGAAUUUAUUAUCCCUAGUUUUAAUAACAUAUAUGUCAAAAAAAGGACCCACAAAUUAAUGAGCAAUUAUAUUUAUGAACUCGUAUUAGUUUAUUUUAUUAAAUAAUAAUAAAUUAAAUUAAAUAAUAUCAUGUAUAUCGUAAAAAAAAUAUAGGUUCUAGCAUUUACCCCUUCGGGGAAUAUUAAGAUAUUGGCGUCCGGAGCCCAUCCGACGUGAUCUACAAUACUCCAUCAUGUAUUCUGCCGGUUAUUCUCGUUGGGGGGCUUGAGGUGAUCACGAUUCUUGUUGAAGGCCCUCCGGGGUAGUAUGAAGAAUGACAUCAUAUCUUGAUCAUGUGUUGUGGUGGGUUAUCCUCAUUGGGGGAAAGAGAUGAUCAUAUGUCCCGGUAAUUUAGGAGGAGACUUUGCCUUACACUUUGGUAGGUUAUCCUCAUCGGGGGUAAGGACUUGUCCAUACACAUUAAGGAAUGAUCACGGCUACACCAUGCGCCUCCUUUCAAGAUACAAAAAGUAGCGGUUAGUGUUACCUCCAAUAAUUAAGGAUAAUGCUGAAUUCGUGACGUAUUUGGGAGCGAGGUAUUGUGUCUCAUGUCAAGGCCCUUGAUGGUGUGGGCUCUCCCUCUGAAUAUAUCGGAGCCGUCUUAGUAGAAGACUCGUCCAGGCCAUGGGCCACCGUCUUGACUAUGACUCAUCCAAGGAACCUUGUUCCUAAUCGACUUAGGUUUUUUGGCAUGGAAGAACUAUGUAUGGCUUGAACCCUAUUAUUACAGGGUACGUAGGCACAUUGAAGAGAUCGAAAGUUGAGAGCAAGGAAUCAACCUACAAUCCAUUUAAUCUCGGCCACCCAUAAACACACAAUCGCUAGACUCUGACAACAAAAUCACAGUCACAUAUCUUGAUUCCAGUCACAAACCUUAUCUUUGUUGAUUACCAAAUUUCACAAAACUCUCAAACACUAGAGAAGGAGAGGCGGCUAGGGUUUUUUGAUUUUUAUAAUAUUCACCCUUUAAUCUCAACCACCAUAAACACACAACCGCUAUACUCCGGCAACAAAACCACCGUCACAGAUCUUGAUUCUGCCCACGAACUUCGGGUCUGUUUGUUUAAGAGAAGCAGAAGCUGCUUCUCGGCUUCUGCUUCUCUUAACCCGUUUGAGUAAAGAAUUAGAAGCACUUUUAAGAAGCUGAGAAUGUUAGUUUCUCUCUCACAACUUCUGCUUCUUUUCCAAACACUUUAUUAACUUAUUUACUUCUAACUUCUGCUCCAAUUUUCUAGUUUAAGCAAGAAGUCACUUCUUUUAAGCUUGCCCAAACGGCCCCUUCAUCUUUGUUGAUUACCAAAUAGGCUGCUAGGUAUUUUGAUUUUUGUAAUAUUCACAUGAAUAUAAUUACUUGUUUUUUUCAUUUUUGUAAUAUUCACAUUAAUAUAAUUGUUACGAACCUCAUUUCUGUUGAUUACCAAAUAGGCUGCUAAUUUUUUCAAUUUUUGUAAUAUUCAUAUUAAUAUAAUUAAAAUUUCUCGUUUUAAUUCCAUUAAAUAAUAAAAUUUCUCAUUUAGGUCACACCUAAAUCGAGUCGUUGUGAGGAGGAGACAGCGGCACACGUGUGUGCCCGCACGAAGCACAUGAUAAUAUCUUGCACACCCACAUAACAGUGCACUAAACUUCAUGUGAUAUCUAUAAAACCACCAACCUAUCAUUAUCAAAUCGAUGUGGUAUUUGAGUUUUUUACAACUCAAACAGCCACAUAACUCAUUUCAGACUGGUCAUUUCAACUCAAUGUAUUAUGAAUUUCAUGAAGAAAAUGUCUAAUUCCAAACAUAAAAUUUAAGUCCUUAUACCAAUAAACAGCUUCCAAUUAUUAAUUUCUUAAAUUUUAUCAAGAACAUAUUGAAAGUAUGACUCAAAUUUUCAUUUUCUAACCAAACUUACUUUAAUACAGUUUAUUGUAGUGAAUUACUUAAACAUUUUGAAUAAGUGCGGUUGUCCUUUAGCAAAAGACACAUAAUCUGACGUCAGGUCAGGUAUUAAGAAGUGAACUAAACAGAAUAAUAAACAAUUAAAAAAAGAAAAUAAACAAUUACAUGAAAUAAACGGUAAUCUAUUUUUGCUAAAUGAAAUAAUAAGUUGUAAUCUAUUAGAUAAAUUAAGGAGUUAGCUGAUAGUCGGAGUGGCACUCGAGAGUCUAGAUUAGCAUUUUCCUUAAUUCUUGCAUGGAUGUAACAAGUCAUAUGAAUAUCAUUUUUGCAGGACGGAGGAAGUAAUUUCAAAUCGUAAUCGUUACUAUAAAAACGGAAAUACGGUAAGCAAGAAAAUAACAGCGUUGCAAAGAUGGCAAGGAAAGAGGGCAAAAUGAAUGUCAGCAGCAUCGAUGCCUUAGGUGAUGAUCUUCUCCGAAACGUGCUCAGGAGAUUACCUUCCUCUUCUUUCGCAUCUGCUGCCUGCGUUAGCCGCUAUUGGAAUCAUCUCUGUGACACUGUCCUCUGCACUCCCAAACUCUCCUCUGCUCACUCUAGCAAUCCUUCUCUCCAG